AGGACACCGGCAUAGGCUCAAAUUUGAAAUCUAGAACUUUCMGUGUUMGAGUUGCAAUUUGAAGAAGGUWACUUUGGAAUUGGCUCUUGUCUAUGUUCCUUGGAACAGGACGUCACAGAGGGUGAGAAUCCCGUGCGAUGAGAUGUCCAAUUCUAUGUAAAGUGCUUUCGAAGAGUCKAGUUGUUUGGGAAUGCAGCUCUAAGUGGGUGGUAAAUUCCAUCUAAAGCUAAAUAUUGGCGAGAGACCGAURGCGAACAAGUACAGUGAUGGAAAGAUGAAAAGAACUUUGAAAAGAGAGUGAAAAAGUACGUGAAAUUGUUGAAAGGGAAGGGCUUGAGAUCAGACUUGGUAUUUUGUGUUCCUUAUCCUUCUUGGAUUAGGUUCCUCACAGCUUACCGGGCCAGCAUCGGUUUGGAUGGCAGGAUAAUGACAUUGGAAUGUAGCUUUGCUUCSGUGAAGUGUUAUAGACUUUGUUGAUACUGCCUAUCUAGACCGAGGACUGCGUCUUUGACUASGAUGSUGGCGUAAUGAUCUUAAGCCGCCCGUCUUGAAACACGGACCAA
rnacentral:rRNA from 1 species